rnacentral:rRNA from 1 species
GACGAACGCUGGCGGCGUGCUUAACACAUGCAAGUCGAACGCUGAAGCCUGGCUUUUGUUGGGUGGAUGAGUGGCGAACGGGUGAGUAACACGUGAGUAACCUGCCCUCUUCUUUGGGAUAACGCCCGGAAACGGGUGCUAAUACUGGAUAUUCACCUGCCUUCGCAUGGGGGUGGGUGGAAAGGGUUUUUUCUGGUGGGGGAUGGGCUCGCGGCCUAUCAGCUUGUUGGUGGGGUGAUGGCUUACCAAGGCUUUGACGGGUAGCCGGCCUGAGAGGGUGACCGGUCACAUUGGGACUGAGAUACGGCCCAGACUCCUACGGGAGGCAGCAGUGGGGAAUAUUGCACUAUGGGCGCAAGCCUGAUGCAGCGACGCCGCGUGAGGGAUGGAGGCCUUCGGGUUGUGAACCUCUUUCGCUCAUGGUCAAGCCGCAACUCAUGGUUGUGGUGAGGGUAUUGGGUAAAAAAGUGCCGGCUAACUACGUGCCAGCUACUCGCUAUAAUACUUAGGGCGCGAGCGCGCUUACAAUUUUUGGCUUGUCAGGGCUUGUAAGCGGUUGCCUCGCGGCUGCCGUGAACACUUCUGUCAUGGUUCAGGUUGUGUCGUGGGUCAUGUUCUUUUGUAGUCGAGUUG